rnacentral:rRNA from 1 species
AGAGUUUGAUCCUGGCUCAGGACGGACGCUGGCGGUGUGCUUCACACAUGCAAGUCGAGCGAAUGAAGAAGGUAGCUUGCUACUUUUGGAUUUAGCGGCGGACGGGUGAGUAAUAUAUAGGAAUCUGCCCUAGAGCGGGGAACAACAGACCGAAAGGUUUGCUAAUGCCCCAUAGGUACGCAGUCUUCGGAUUGUUUAUUAAAGGAGUAAUCCACUCUAGGAUGAGCCUGUAUCCGAUUAGCUAGUUGGCGGGGUAAAGGCCCACCAAGGCUACGAUCGGUAGUUGGUCUGAGAGGAUGAUCAGCCACAAUGGGACUGAGACACGGCCCAUACUCCUACGGGAGGCAGCAGUGGGGAAUUUUACACAAUGGGGGAAACCCUGAUGUAGCGACACCGCGUGAACGAAGAAGCCUUUUGGGGUGUAAAGUUCUGUCGGCUGGAACGAAAAAAAUGACGGUACCAGCAAAGGAAGCAUCGGCUAACUACGUGCCAGCAGCCGCGGUAAGACGUAGGAUGCAAGCGUUGUCCGGAUUUAUUGGGCGUAAAGAGUUCGUAGGCGGUUAUUUAAGUCUGGUGUUAAAUACUGUGGCCCAACCACAGAACUGCAUUGGAUACUGGAUGACUUGAGUGCGGUAGAGGCGAGUGGAAUUCCCAGUGUAGCGGUGAAAUGCGUAGA